rnacentral:lncRNA from 1 species
GUUAGGACAUAAAACAUUUUCACCACCCCGGCAUGUCAUCUUCCCCCACGAUAAUAUGUUUUAACAAACUAAUAGCUUAAUAUCGAUUGAAAAAUGUAGAUGAAAAUCUCAUCUCUUUUCUCGUUGUUUGUUGACCAUCAUAAAGUGGAAAAAAGCAAGAGGCAGGUCUCUAAUGCCAGCCUGAACACAAUGACAACCAUUGUCAUUUAUUAUUUUCUAAGGCACUUGCUGGACAUUUCUCCCAUAUCAUCUUUUAUUAUUACACCCUGGUCUGACCUCCAGAUAAGACUGAGUUUCAGAGAAGUUAAUUUCCCUGCUCAGGUGAACAAGGCAGGGUCCUUACAAACAAAAAGUCCAGGGGAGGGGAGGGUUGGAGGAUGCAUCUACCAGGGUGUCCUGUCCUAUUUCAGAUGAAGGUAGGCAGGAAUGGAAGAGGACCAAUACUCCCUUUACUCUGGAGAAGGCAGCUGGGUGGUGUCUUCGAGUUCAGUGUUAGCCCACACUCAGGUCCCAGCCCAAAGGUCAGGGCUGCGCCAGCCUCAGGAUAUUGCCUAAGAAUCUGCAUACCAGUCCCUGUGUGGCCAUCCUGGGCCGGCAAGUGUCCUAUGAAGAUGGAAGGGGAGGUGGGAUAGGGGAAUAUUAGUUCAAUGGUGGAACACUUUCCUAGCAUGUGAAAGCCCUGAGUUCAAGUCUUGGCAUCUCAAAAACAGAAAGAAAGAGAGAGAGAGAGAGAGAAAACAGAGGAGGAGGGGCCGAGGGGUCCACCUGAGCCCACACCCCGGCCCCAUGUUCUUCUUUGCUUUUGAAUGACAUAAGCAGCUCCUUUACCCCACCUCAGGAUGAUAAAGCAUACAAGAAAAAAAAUAGUUUUGCAACGACUGGUAGAUCCUCUCUCUUUAAUUAAGUGAUUGACUUAUAUCUAACGGGGGAAAGAAAUUAACGUGUUCUUUUGAGUAUAGGGCUAUGCUGAGAAAUUUACAAGAAUAUUAAAAGGAAUUUUACCUCAGUAUUUCCUUCCAGAUCUCUCCACUUUUCUGUAACUCUGCUCAUUCUAAAGUAAAAGAAUUGCCUCAUCUAUGUCUGUAGGGAAAACUGAACAUUGUAGAGUGGAUAUAAAAAGGAUGGAAGUUAGAUUUAUAAUGCAGAUUUUUGUGUCUGUGGUGGAGAAAGAUCAGACACCUGACAACCUAAGGCACCUUUCAGAAAUUGCCACUCCUUCUCAACCAGUGAAUGCAUCACCUCUUCUAAGCAUGAAGAGAGGUGGCCUAAAUUCCUGUUGCUGUGGCCUUCUGUGUAGGAGCAAGUGCUCACCACCAGCUGCAGCCCUCUGCCCACAGCCUCUUCCACCUGUCCUAAUGGUUUCCUGCUUCCAGCACCUACAGGUGUCUGCCUGAAGGAGGAGCAGAGGAGGCUAAAUCCUGGGACAGGUGUCAAGUACCUGGAAGUUCAUGAUCUUCAGCUGAUUCCAGAUGGAGGGUGCUGGAUAAAUAGCCCAGCUUCCUUACACCAGAUGGAACAACUAUAGAGCAUGUUCUGCGCCAUGUCUCAGAGGUUCCCAGUGGGACUGAGCCCUCAGAGUCCAUCUGCUCAGACCCUAUGUGUACUGGCUUUUCCCCUUUCCCUUUCUCACUUCCCUACUCUGGUCCUUUCUGGAAUCUUUUCUUUGAUUGACUUACAUGUGAAUCCUUGUCUCAGUGUCUGUACCUAGGAGAGUCCAGAUGGAGACCCAGAUGCCUGAAGUCUCCCUUUUGCCUUCAUUCUGGAUCUGGCAUUAGUUUCUCAGAGGUCACCCAUGACUUGACUGGCCCAGCUCUACAAGUGUUCCUUGGGAAUAUCGAAAUUAUUGAUCCAUCUUUUUUGUAGUGAUUAACUUGGGAUGGCAAGGAGGCAGGAAGCCCAGGAAAGCCUGGCAAGGGACAUGGAGAGUAACCAGUAGCUGGUUAGUUACUCUUGCUCCUCAUGCUCAUACCUGGGACAUCCAGUUACCCUCAUAUAGAUCUGGGAGCAUGGCUCCUGUCCACUCAGGACCCAUCCUCAAGGCCAGUGACUUGUCUUUUCCCACCAUAAAGCAGCUCUCAGCUUCUCUGAGAGCAGCUCACAUUCCUACCUCCCAAGAAGGAGUGGAUUGGGUCAGGGAAACAUCCUCUAAUUUGCAGAGCCUCCAUUAUUCGGGUUCUAGGCCAAAACACCUGGUGACCAGGUGGCUUCUCUAAAGUCCAGCCUACAUGGUUAUUUUUGACUUAUACAAAAAUAACACAGGAACACAUGGCACAAGGUGACAACCAUAUACAGAAAGAGCUACUCCCAUUCCUCAGAAGACACUAUGGAGAUGAAGUGUCAUGAGCUGCUUUCUGUGUUCCAAAGCUUUAAUCCUUAUCUUAGAAUUUUGACUAUACUUGGAGAUAAGGCCUUUUAGGAGGUGAUUAGUUAAAAUGAGGCCAUUAGACUGGGCCUCAUCCAAUACCACCGUCCUUAUAUGAAGAGGACAUUAGGACACAGACGUGUAGAGGGAAGACCUUUCAAGGACACAGGAAGAAGACAGCCAUCUGCAAGCCCAGGAGAGAGGUUCCUGGAGAAACCAACCCUUCCAACACCACCAUCUUGGACUUUCUGCCUCCAAAGCCUUGAGAAAUAAAUUUCUGUUGUUAAAACCAUUCAGUCUAUGGUACUUUAUUCUGGAAGCCCUAGCUGACCAAUGCAUGGUGGCACUUAAAGAUCUACCUUGAACC